rnacentral:rRNA from 1 species
UACGAAGGGGGGCUAGCGUUGUUCGGAAUUACUGGGCGUAAAGGGCGCGUAGGCGGCCGAUUAAGUUAGGUGUGAAAGUCCUGGGCUCAACCUGGGGGACUGCACUUAAUACUGAUUGGCUUGAAUUCGGGAGAGGAUAGCGGAAUUCCCAGUGUAGAGGUGAAAUUCGUAGAUAUUGGGAAGAACACCGGUGGCGAAGGCGGCUAUCUGGACCGACAUUGACGCUGAGGCGCGAAAGCGUGGGGAGCAAACAGG